rnacentral:rRNA from 1 species
UUCAGAGGGUGCGAGCGUUGUUCGGAAUUACUGGGCGUAAAGAGCGCGUAGGCGGUUCUAAAAGUCAAUUGUGAAAGCUUGGGGCUCAACCCCAAAAGUGCAUUUGAUACUAUAGGACUAGAGAUCGGGAGAGGUAAAUGGAAUUCCUAGAGUAGGGGUAAAAUCCGUAUAUAUUAGGAGGAACACCGGAGGCGAAGGCGGUUUACUGGAACGUAUCUGACGCUGAGGCACGAAAGCGUGGGGAGCGAACAGG